GGGCCCGUAGCUUAGCCUGGUUUGAGUGCCCGACUGAUAAUCGGGUGGUCCGGAGUUCGAAUCUCCGCGGGCCCA
rnacentral:tRNA from 1 species